CGGACGGGUGAGUAUCGCGUAGGGAUUUAUCGUUGGGUGGGGGAUAACCUUGGGAAACUGGGGCUAAUACCGCAUGACGCCUUUGGGCCAAAGUUUGUGAGAGCGCCUGACGAGGAGCCUGCGUCCGAUUAGCUAGUUGGUUGGGUAAUGGCUGACCAAGGCGUCGAUCGGUAGCUGGUCUGAGAGGAUGAUCAGCCACACUGGGACUGAGACACGGCCCAGACUCCUACGGGAGGCAGCAGUGGGGAAUAUUGGACAAUGGGCGCAAGCCUGAUCCAGCAAUGCCGCGUGGAUGAAGAAGGUUUUCGGAUUGUAAAGUCCUUUCGGCGGGGACGAUGAUGACGGUACCCGCAGAAGAAGCCCCGGCUAACUUCGUG
rnacentral:rRNA from 1 species